CCGUGCUAGGCGGGGUGAUAGCGGUGCCCUGUACCCACAAUCCGCUCUAGCGGGGCUGAAUUCCCUCUUUAGGGGCUCCAGGCCCGAGGUCAGCGCCCCAUCUGGCUGCGUUGAUGAUCAGGUCCCAUUGCGAUGUCGGCCCGUGAACCAGGUCAGGUCCGGAAGGAAGCAGCCAUAAGCGGUCACCGGCAGGCGCAGUGGGAGGGCUUGAUCGGAGUGUCCAGAUGGUGAGUGCGGCCCCGGGUACGGCAACAACAGAGGGUGCACGG
rnacentral:SRP_RNA from 1 species